UAAACCCUUGAAUGGCUCCAAAUGUUGUGAC
rnacentral:piRNA from 1 species